AUGCACGCUGGCGGCGUGCCUAAUACAUGCAAGUCGAACGCUGGAAAUCUAGCUUGCUAGAUUGAAGGAGUGGCGAACGGGUGAGUAAUACAUAAGCAACCUACCCACGAAGACUGGGAUAAUCUCUGGAAACGGGGACUAAUACCGGAUAGGUAAUCGGAAGGCAUCUUCUGAUUAUUAAAGGUUAAAAACACUGGUGGAUGGGCUUAUGGCGCAUUAGUUAGUUGGUGAGGUAACGGCCCACCAAGACGAUGAUGCGUAGCCGGCCUGAGAGGGUGAACGGCCACAUUGGGACUGAGACACGGCCCAGACUCCUACGGGAGGCAGCAGUAGGGAAUUUUCGGCAAUGGGGGAAACCCUGACCGAGCAACGCCGCGUGAGUGAUGACGGCCUUCGGGUUGUAAAGCUCUGUUGUAAGGGAAGAACGGUAGAUAGAGAAUAUCUAAAUGACGGUACCUUACCAGAAAGCCACGGCUAACUACGUG
rnacentral:rRNA from 1 species